rnacentral:sRNA from 1 species
GAAUCUUGAUGUCACCACUUCAGCCUAGCCAUUCCCAUGGUUACACGACAGUCUUCGAGUGGUUUUCCUUACAGUGGAACUGAGGAAUAUGGGGUAGAAUACACUUUAAAGUGCCACACACACACUUGGUAUCCUCUUUUCUGAUGUUGUUGACCAUGUGUCUCUGAGAUUUUGCAUAUAAUAUUGGCAUUCGUUUUUCUUAUUUUUUUUUGAAAGUUGAAAGGAAAAAUUUCAAAUUUAGGAGGGGCGUUAGACUUAGGGAUGUGGUUGUCUUAAGUUAUUAGGAUUUGGGGUGGGGGGAUGUAUGGAAUCAUAGGCCUUUCAACAGAUAAAGUCUGAGAGAGGGAGAGCUUGGACUUGGGACAGAUUGCAGGAGACACGGUCUUACAGUGGGAAGCACGAAGACCCUGAUCAAUUCAUUCAAACCCUCAGCCCACUGUCUGCGCAAAGGCAGAGUUAACGAGCAAAGCUGACAAGCGGGCCAAGAGGAGUCCUCACGGGUACCUCAGCUGCAAGAGGGCCACAGAAGCAAGACCCUCAGCCGAGUUUCCACAACUUGAGAGGGUGGCAGUGGGCAUCACAGCCUUUGUUCUCGUGUAUACCUUCUCCCUCAAUAGAGACUUCUCAGGACGGUCUCCAUGAUUAUACCAUGCUUUCAAAUUGUUUCGAUUCACUGAAAAAAAAUGCACACAUCUAGAGAUGGCAUGCUCAAGUAUGUUAUGCGUGUGCAUGCAAGCAAUGACAUUGACACAUGCCUUUUAUUCACAUGUUCAACAACGUCUACCCUAGUCUCGGAGACGUGUGAUGAAGUUUGUUUUUUUUUGUUUUUUUUUUUAACGGAAAGAUUUUUGCAGAAAGCUUUAUUUAACCCAGCUGGGUAGACAUGUUUGGUCGCCAGUGCUAAAGCCCAACAUCCUUCACUCAGAAGAGCACUUUGCUACCUCCUUCCACACUCACCUCGACCCUCUGCUUUUCCAGAGCCUACAGGGCCGUUCAAAUGGGAGUUUCCUCCCCUGCUCUCUCCUUUAUGUCUCCCAGAGCUUCAUGCCCAAGGAAGCUGUAUUUCUUCCUUGCCAUCUGUUCUGCCCCCCUCCCCUCUUACCCAAUCCCCAGCUUCCUGCUCUCUAAUUAUCCCCAACAGGAGGGACUCACAGUCUGUAGGUAAAAGGAUUUAAAAGAUACAUGCAAGCGAAUCGCAUACAAUGUAAUUCACCAAUGUGAGCUCAGAAGUGCGAGAGGAGAGGGAGACGCUUGGACUACGACACUCUUCCUACAAAUAUGAGUAUUCCCCAGAUUAUAAAAGGCCAACCACAGAGAGGAGGAAAGGAAGGACCAUGGUGGCAGGAGCCCUGGAGGAGGAGGAAAUAGCAGGGUACAAAUGAUGUGAAGCAGUAAAUGGGGAAAAUAAGGAGGAGGAGCGCUUUAAUGGAGGGAGGAAUGUGCAGUACAGGAGGAGGAGGGAGGAGCAAUAACAGUAUGUUUGGAAAGCCUCUAGGAAGCAUUAUUUUGUAUUUACCUCAAACUAUGGGCAAUAUAUAAGCAUAUAUGUAUAUAUAUAUCCAUACAUAGAUAUCCAUCUACCUAUGUAUCUAUUUUUCUAUCUUUUUAUUGAACCCAAGUUAUGCCUUUUGGUCUGAAAAUAACCCCCACCGAAAGCCCUAGACCAUCAAGCAAAAUCCCUAGCACCAGGCAUGGAAAACCUCCUUUCCAGAUGUUGGUCAGGGCAGUUCAAGAGACUCCCAAAACGAUAUAGGCUAUUGCUGUUGCUCUUGGUUGUCUCUCAGAGGUUAAAGUAAAAGACACCACGCACCAUGUCUAACAUCGGACUCAGAAGAUUCAAGCUGGAUCUGACCCGAAAAGCCUCCUCCUGGAGGCCCAGAUUUCACAGUACCCGGAAGAUGCUUUGCCCGUUGCCAAAGAAGAAAAGCAAUCAAUUCACCUACCCAGCUGUGGUGUUUAUGAACCACACUGACGGCCAGCACAGCAAGCUAUCCCUAAACGUGCAAUAGUGACUUGCAGAUCAUGGCAGGCAGUCACCAAUAGCUCUCUAAUUGGACUUAAGGGCUCCUCUACAGGAGGGAGAUUAUGCCUGGUUCUGGAAACCUAGUCAGCUCCCCACAGCUAUUAAGGCAAAUGUAGAUCUCUCUUCUCAUCAGCAGAUGAAACAACAUUACAGGAAACUGCAGUGGUUCAAAAUGCACAGAAUGGCUGAUAGUGGACCUCCUGCCUCAGCGAAUGUAUCUACAACACACGACCUGCAAUGCUCAAGGAACAUUACCAAGAGGGGGCAGAAAGAGGGUGCGGGCCAGAGGACCAAGAAGUCUUCUGUGAGAUCUCGUCUCCUAAAAAAUGACAGGAAAGCUACAUCUGUGAGAUCGUAACCAUUUGGCUGCCUAAGGAAGACCUCAACGAUGCCAAUAGACAUGCUAAAGUAGAAGAAGGAAUUCUCAUGGGGCCCCAUCCCAUGCCACCACACAAUGAACGGCAGCUGAGGGAGGGAGGAUUAGUCUUCCUCGGGGAUGAGCUUCCUUACUGGUUAUCCAAUAUCAAGUGGUCGUUCCUGACACUAUACAUAUAAACAAUAUUUCUUUCUCUCUCUCUCUCUCUCUCUCUCUCUCUCUCUCUCUCUCUCUCUCUGCUUAUCAAACUGACACAAGCUAGUGUUUUCUGGGAAGAGGAACCCCAUUUGGAAAAGAAAGGCCUCUGUCAGAUUGCCUGUAGGCAAAUGUAUAAAGUAUUUUCUUGAUGGGUGUUUGGUGUGGAAGGGUCCUGCGUAUAGCAUGCUGCCUGGACUGGUUGUCCUGAGUUACAUAAGACAGUGAUCUGGACGAGCCCAGGGAACAAGUCAGGACACCUCCUUCUUCAUUCUCUUCUUCAGUUCCUGCCUUCAGUCCCUUCACUGUGUUCCUUCUCUCGACUUCUCCCCUGUGAAGAAGAUCCGUGAGCUGAAAUAAACCCUUUCUUCCCCCAAGCCAUUUUGGUCCUGGUCUUUAUCAUGCUAGAUAGAAAUCUAACUAAGACAAUAUGUAACACUAACAAUCAAAGGACAAGAGGUCAUGAAUUUGAAAGUAAGUAAGGGGUGGGGGAACAGGAGGAGUUGGAGGGAGGGAACGGGGAGAGCUUGAGGGAGGAAAAGGAAGAGGGGAAAUGAAGUGAUUCUAAUUUAAUUAAAAAAAUAAAAUGACACAUAAUUUUUCCCACUAUACCCAAUCUUU